CUUUACUCUUCUCUUUACUUUCCUUUACUCUUGUCCUUACUUUCUACUGUGGUUCGCCGCCGGGACCCUCACUAGAAGGGUACAGUGCCGAACUAUGAAGAGUACCGCCUCGGAGGCAUCUGAAUCCUGUGACAGAACAUCUUGUUUAUCUCCGGGGAGGCGGUAUAGGGGAACAGGGUCCCUAGGCUAUGGGCAUGGUGCUAACUUGUUUCUGGGAUGAAGCUUUCAUGUGGACAUGUACCAUGGAUAGGCAGGGAUGUCCCUGUGAGGGAUGAAACAGACCACGAUAGCAGUAUAAAUCUAAAGACUUC